UACGUAGGGGGCAAGCGUUGUCCGGAUUUAUUGGGCGUAAAGCGCGUGUAGGCGGCCAGGUAGGUCCGCUGUGAAAGUCGGGGGCUCAACCCUCGGAUGCCGGUGGAUACUGUCGGGCUUGAGUACGGAAGAGGCGAGUGGAAUUCCUGGUGUAGCGGUGAAAUGCGCAGAUAUCAGGAGGAACACCGGUGGCGAAGGCGGGUCUCUGGGCCGAUACUGACGCUGAGGAGCGAAAGCGUGGGGAGCGAACAGG
rnacentral:rRNA from 1 species